AGAGUUUGAUCAUGGCUCAGAUUGAACGCUGGCGGCAUGCCUUACACAUGCAAGUCGAACGGCAGCACGGGAGCAAUCCUGGUGGCGAGUGGCGAACGGGUGAGUAAUACAUCGGAACGUGCCCUGUAGUGGGGGAUAACUAGUCGAAAGACUAGCUAAUACCGCAUACGACCUGAGGGUGAAAGUGGGGGACCGCAAGGCCUCAUGCUAUAGGAGCGGCCGAUGUCUGAUUAGCUAGUUGGUGGGGUAAAGGCCUACCAAGGCGACGAUCAGUAGCUGGUCUGAGAGGACGAUCAGCCACACUGGGACUGAGACACGGCCCAGACUCCUACGGGAGGCAGCAGUGGGGAAUUUUGGACAAUGGGGGCAACCCUGAUCCAGCAAUGCCGCGUGUGUGAAGAAGGCCUUCGGGUUGUAAAGCACUUUUGUCCGGGAAGAAAUCGCACCUGAUAAUACCGGGUGUGGAUGACGGUACCGGAAGAAUAAGGACCGGCUAACUACGUGCCAGCAGCCGCGGUAAUACGUAGGGUCCAAGCGUUAAUCGGAAUUACUGGGCGUAAAGCGUGCGCAGGCGGUUGUGCAAGACCGAUGUGAAAUCCCCGGGCUUAACCUGGGAAUUGCAUUGGUGACUGCACGGCUAGAGUGUGUCAGAGGGGGGUAGAAUUCCACGUGUAGCAGUGAAAUGCGUAGAGAUGUGGAGGAAUACCGAUGGCGAAGGCAGCCCCCUGGGAUAACACUGACGCUCAUGCACGAAAGCGUGGGGAGCAAACAGGAUUAGAUACCCUGGUAGUCCACGCCCUAAACGAUGUCAACUAGUUGUUGGGGAUUCAUUUCCUUAGUAACGUAGCUAACGCGUGAAGUUGACCGCCUGGGGAGUACGGUCGCANGAUUAAAACUCAAAGGAAUUGACGGAAGGC
rnacentral:rRNA from 1 species